GCAUUAAUGGGGUAGUGGUAACCUGGGUCGUUGCCAUUCCAAGAAGCUUUGUACUCGACCCGCCGGGGGUUCGAUUCCCCUUAAUGCA